GGGACAGCGGCGAAAGGGACAGUAAUAUGUAGGUACCUACCCCUGGGUUCGGGAUAGCUGCGGGAAACUGCAGGUAAUACCGAAUAACGUCUCCGGACCAAAGGUGUGAUUCCACCUGGGGAGGGGCCUGCAUCCUAUUAGCUUGUUGGCGGGGUAACGGCCCACCAAGGCAACGAUGGGUAGCGGGUGUGAGAGCACGACCCGCGUCAUUGGGACUGAGAUACUGCCCAGACACCUACGGGUGGCUGCAGUCGAGGAUCUUCGGCAAUGGGCGAAAGCCUGACCGAGCGACGCCGCGUGCGGGAUGAAGGCCUUCGGGUUGUAAACCGCUGUCGUUGGGGAGGAAGUGCAGAGGGGUUCUCCCCUUUGUUUGACCUAUCCAAGGAGGAAGUACGGGCUAAGUUCGUGCCAGCAGCCGCGGUAAGACGAACCGUACGAACGUUAUUCGGAAUUACUGGGCUUAAAGGGUGCGUAGGCUGCGCAGAAAGUUGGGUGUGAAAGCCCUCGGCUCAACCGGGG
rnacentral:rRNA from 1 species